AGAUGGAGUCUCGCUCUGUCACCCAGGCUGGAGUGCAGUGGCGUGAUCUCUGCUCACUACAAGCUCCGCUUCCUGGGAUCACGCCAUUCUCCUGCCUCAGCCUCCUGAGUAGCUGGGACUACAGGCGCCCGCCACCAUGCCUGGCUAAUUUUUUGUAUUUUUAGUAGAGACGGAGUUUUACCAUGUUAGCCAGGAUGGUCUCCAUCUCCUGACCUCAUGAUCCGCCGCCUUGGCCUCCCAAAGUGCUGGGAUUACAGAUGUGAGCCACUGCGCCUGGCCAAAAAAUGAUUUUUUAAAGGUAUCUUUAAGGCUACUUAAGAAGACAGCUGCUCAUCACAUAGGACUGAAGCACACAAAAAAAGGCUUGAGUUCCAGUCUGGCAGCACUUGGCCUGCUCUGUCUGCCCAGAAUUUAGUGAUCAUCAAACCUGAAAUGUGAAGGAUCACAGGAAGGGUGGUGGAUUCUGGAAGGAUAUCCAGCACCUGCAGACUUAGUGGUUAGAGCUCCCUUGAAGUCCUGUGCAGGAGAAAUACCUAAAACAUAAAACUCAAAGCCAGCCUGCAGCAUCCUUUAUGCUAUCAAAUUGAAUCAGUGGAGAGAGAUGAUCCAAUUCACCACAGAGCUGAAGUGGAAGGAACAAAAUUAAUGAUUCACCCUGAAUAAAUAAAACCUAAAUGGCUUUGGGAGGCUUGGUCCAGAUGGAACUUUGAAAUGCUCUUCAAACAUUUCCAAAGUGCUAGAAGAUCCUAGGAACCUAAAGACUGUGAGGGUGGCAGUGAUGUGAAGAUGACAGUGGUAGUGCCGACAGAGUGAUGAUAAUAACAAUGGCAACGAUGGUGGUCCUGAUUGUCGGGAGGAUGAGGACAGUGGUGAUGAUGUGCAGGUGACAAAGCUGAUGAUGAUGGCGGUGGUAAUCGUGAGUGCAGUGACUAUUAAUCCAGGCCCUUUCCAUUCUACAAUUCUAUUGUUUGGGAUGACAAAGUUGUAUUAGGUCCUUGGUUCAAUUGAAACAAGCAUAUUUCGAAUUAUGCCCAAUUCUCAAACUGAUUAUUUUAUCCAAUAGACAUUUUGCAAGAGAGGAAAAUAUUCAAAGUUCUGUCCUCAGCCCUGAAGAGCACAUUUUAGUAAGAGUCUCAAGGAGUUCAGAGUUGCUAAAGACAGAAUGUUUGCGUUGUCCCAAAAUUCAUAUGUUGAAAUCUUAAUUUUUAGUGUGAUGAUUUUAGGAAGGGGGCUUUCGGUAGGUGAUUAGACGGGUAAUUAGAUUAUCAUCUUCACAAAAGAGACAUCAGAGAGCUCCCUUGCCCCUUGUGCCAUGUGAGGACACAGAGAGAAGACAGCUGAUUAUAAACCAAGAAGGAAACCCUCAGCAGACACUGGAUCUCAUGGCACCUUGAUCCUGGAUUUUCUAGCCUCCAGAACUGUGAGAAAUAAGCUUUGGUUGUUUGUACAUCAUCCAGUCGACAGUAUUCUGCUUUAGCAGCCCAAGAAGACUAUGGAACAGUCUAGGCAAGGAGAUGCAGGAGUAGCAUGAAAUUUUAAGAGGUUUAGGAAACUGCCUGGUGAAGAAACACAGGUCAGUAGAGAAGUGUGAAGGCUCAUUUAACUUUCUAACUGGAGAGAGUCACCGUUGCCAUGAAGAGCAGAGCUAUGACAAGUUCCACUGUGGAUGGCAAGGAAAUGAGGGGGGCAGCAACCUGUUAAUGAGACUCAAGAGUGUCAAGACCCAUUUUUGUUAUCUGGAUUUUCAAGGCCGAGUUCAAACAUGAGGAUCCUGGAAAGGUUGGCAGACGUCUGCGGAAGCUACCUUCUCUGUUGUAAAAGUCCACAAAUGAGAAGUGGCUGCAGUGUAUAAACCUGUGGACAGCUCUUCUUGUACUGUCACCCACUCUCAUAGCUCACCAUCCUCAGGCACCCUCUUAUCUCUGCUCACAGAGUACCCACCUGAAAUGCCUAACCUGCUAACUCCACCCAGUGAAAUUCUGUGAAUCCCACAAGGUGUGUCUUAUAUGCCUCCUUUCCUCUGCUCAUUCCUUCCACAGACAUUAUUGUACAUGCCUUGGGUGCUCAACGGCAGUCUCUGGAUUCCCCAAACAGUACAGUAGUUUCUUUUAGCCCUUCCCAUUGCACUUGUCAAGGGCAUUUGCUUUUGGCAUUCAAAUUUGUGUCUAGUACAUAAUGGAGACCUGGCUACAGAAGUAUUGCAGUACUGAAAACAAUCUCUGCUAUCCACGGGCUUGAAAUUUACCCUCUGCAAGUGUAACUGGAGGAAAACACAGUAGUCACCAACUACGGGCAGUUACUGAAAUUCAAAUUAGUUGAAAUAAAAUAAAACCAAAAAUACAAAUCCUUAUUCUCACAGACCACAUUUCAGGUGCUCAGUAGCUACAUGUGGCUGUGACUGUUAUAUCACCCGGUGCAGAGAGAAAGCAUUUCUACCCUUACAGAGCAUUCCAUUAGACAGUGUUGCUCGGGAUUCUAUAUCCCCCUGAACCUCUGCUAUUCCCUGUCACUGGGUCCGUUUCCUUUAAAACCCUAACCAAUUAUUUGCACACUUAUUUGUUUUAUGGUGAUUCCCCGCAAGUAGACUGUAAGCUCUGGGAGAGUAAGGACUAUCUUUAUCUCUUUUACCACUUCCACCCUUACACUUAGAAGAGACCUGGCAGGUGACAAAAAUAUAUUGCUAAAGUGAACAAGUGGGAUGGUGAGUUUCUAUCCACUAGAGAGUCAUAGCUGUCUAAAGGGACACCAUGCACCAUUUUUCCAGCCUUACCUGGUCCUCCAGAUGCCCCGCAGAUACCUUGUGGUGUGGCCUUCGCUCUUGCAGGGUCUCAGCCCCCUGGGACAUCCUCCUACAUCCACAUCUUCAUGGCUGAAUCCCACCCAGACCUCAAAAAUGAAACGAAAGGCCACCUUCAGGAAGCCUUCCUCAAUCCAGUGCUUCCCUUUUGUCUCCUCAUCUUCUUCCCCAUUAAAGGGCUUAAGAAUGAUGUCCUCCAAAUUUGACCACCUUGGCUUUUAAACUGCAACUCUCUGGAAGCUUCACACCUGUUGCCUUAUUGGUGGCUGCUUUAUACACAUUUGUUCAUGUUUCUUAUCCACUACUUGAGAGCAGGGUCUAUGUCUAGCUUACAAUCAUCUUCCCAGGCUCUGAGAAAAGCAUUUAAAAUACAGCAGAGGCUUAAAACAUAAUAUUUGAAUGAAUAUAUGAGUAAAUAAAUGAUCAUGUUUUAAAGCUAUGAUUUUACUAUUUUUAAAUGAUCACUACCACUAAAGAACAUCAUUUCUUUAUUUUUUAAUCCAUGGCUUUUUAUUUUUAUUUUUUAAAGAUUCAUACCAAACAAUACAGCAUAAAGCUCUAUAACUUAUAAAAUUUGUAAAACCAAAUUCUAAAAUUGAGAAUUUAUUAUACACAAAAGUUAAAGAACCUAGGGCUGGAAGAAGCAAAUUUCUAUACUGAAAUGUCUUUAGGAAUGGGCACGUAUUCAUUUUUAUUUUGCAACAAAGGAAUUUCAUUAAAAUAAGAAAAAAUGUGAACCAUUAGUGUUAACUUACUUGGUUUUUAGAUGAAUAUUAAUCUUAUAUCUAGAAGUAUAUGUCUUGCAUCAGCAUUUCAAUAAAGAAGCAAUAAAUGCAGAACCAGCCCUGUAUCCCUUUUUCAUCAUAUGUUCAGAAGUACCAUGAGGACACUUCUGUGUGUUUAAGGCUUGCAAAGUCUUUGCCCAUCCACUGUCACCUUCCACUUUUGUAUCAACCUUACCAUUUGGAAUUCCGUUGAAUGCUGGCUCUCCAAAUAUCACCAGCACAACCUGUGGAUAGUAAAAGCUGUUUACUGCUUACUAAAGUAAUGGUUAACCUCAAAAGAGCUGAGGCUGUGUCUGUGAGGUGGGGCGGGGGAAGGCUGGAAAUUAUUCCAGAUUGGAAAUUCAGUUUAAAGCAGGUCUUCCAAUGGACAGCUUGACUGGGAUUAGGUAAGAAUCGUAAUACAACAGUCCAGACUGAAUAGGAUUAGCAAAGUGAACAAGGGAUUGAAAGAAUGUUUAGGUGCAAAGUGUCAAUUAUUUUUUACAUUGAAGAAGAGUUUAAGGUUGUUUUGGGAAGUCCUUGUAAUGAACAGUGAAGUCAUCAAGCCAUUUGCCUGGGGCCAGAAUCUUUGGCCUAGUAAAGUCAUGCUAACCAACGCAGUGGAAGAGUAAAGUUGUAUUAAUGUGGGGAGUAGAUUGAGUGAGGACAGAGAGUUUCAGUCCUUGGUGAUUUGAUCCAGCUGUGUGUGCAGGUGGAUGCUUUUGGUUCUCAAGCCACACUGGACAGAAGAGAAGCAGAUAGCUUUUACCUUCCCCCAAAUUACACGGCUUUGUGUUACAGAUACAAUUUCCUUCUUCUAUAAAAAUAUAAAUAUAAAAUAUAUAUACAUAUACAUAUAUGUUUCAAUAUGUAGAAACACACGCACAGACACACACACACACAUAUAUAUAUUUAAAACAUAUAUUUAAAAUGAUUGCCUGCCUUCUUCUUGAACUCUGGAGUGUGAAUUAAAGAUCCCUCCCUGUCUGUAGGGAACCCACCCCAGGAGGGUACAAGAUGGUGUAGAAAGAAAGUUGUUCUUCCCUGUCUGUAACAGCAUUUGCAAAAUAAGUCCUUAAUUUGAGUGCUUUUUGAAACACUACAGUUGAUUUCUGAUCUAUUAAAAUGUUAUAUAAGUAAAGAUAUAAGUACACAUUGAUCAGCAUUUUAUUCAAUUGUCUUUCUCGUUUGAGCCACCUUCCAGGCAGGUGGCUAUUCACAGCAUUGAGAAUUGUAAAUGCUGGUUUGCAGCUAGUACUUAGUGACUUAAUUUCAUUCUGUAAAAUAUUGGAGGCGUGUGGAAAGGUGCUAUUCUCUUUCAAGGAAGUAAUCUACAAAAUGAAUGCUAGAUUGGGUAUUAGGGCUAAUGGAACACGUUAAUAAUAUAGCAGGUUAACACUGACGCUUACUUACAAUAAAGCUGCCAGAGCUGGGACACUGACGCCCUGAAGGAAACAUUCUUCACUGUGUUCACGCUUAGAAACUCCCUUCUUACUUCAUGGACACAACUGAAAUGUUACGUUUCGUAUCUACUGCAGCCACAACACAGCAUCCAACACACAGCUCUCCUUUCUCCAGCUCUGCAGGCUGAUCUUGUUUUACACUAUACAUUCUCCUUGUUCCAAAUUUUAUCCAAUUCUCUCCCUUUUUCUAGGCAAAGAAUAAGACACUUGGACAAGGCCGUUAAUGGCAAUUUCCUAAGGCUUUUGAAGCCCCUGUAGACAAGGAUGAGAACCAGCAUUCUAAAAUAGGAAGGUCAGCAAAGCAAAGGAUGGCAAUGAGGCCACCCAUGGGAAACUACAGGAGCAGAGGCUGCCCCAAGAGGGAGCCCGAGGUGGGGCAGAGGUUCCCAUCCAGCCUCACAAACUCAGGGCACCAUAAUGAAGACAAGGUCCCUGCCUAGACAACCCUUUUCCCCACCACUGUGUCCUUAGACUCUAGAGUGUGAAUUUAAGAUCCCUCCCUAUCUGCAGGGAGCCCACCCUGCCCCGUUCUGCAAAGUGAGUCUAACAAUCCCUACCUAGCAGGGGUGUUGUAUUAGUCAGUCUUCAUGCUGCUGAUGAAGACAUACCUGAGACUGGGUAAUGUAUAAAGAAAAAGAGGUUUAAUGGACUCACAGUUCCACCAUAUGGUUGGGGAGGCCUCACAAUCAUGGCGUCAGGCAAAACACGUGUCUUACAUGGCAGCAGACGAGAGAAUGAGAGCCAAGUGAAAGCAGAAACCCUUAAUAAAGCCAUCAGAUCUCGUGAGAGUUAUUCAUUACCAGGAGAACAGUAUGGGAGAAACUGCCCUCAUGAUUCAAUUACCUUCCACUGGGCCCCUCCCACAACACAUGGGAAUUAUGGGAGCUACAAUUCAAGUUGAGAUUUGGGUGGGGAUACAGAGCCAAACCUCAUCAGGUGUGGUAUCAAAUGUGGUCACAUGUGUUAAAAGACUUUGUAAACUGUAAAAUUUAGAAGAGGGUAUAAUCAACAUCAUACCAACAGUGAAUAUAUAUGAAUGAUGGAAUUAAGUCUUAGUUUGAUUUUAUUCUUUAUAGAUCUGUGGUGUUUGCAAUAAUAAACACGCUUUUCUUGUUCCUGGGAAGAAAAGCUGUAAAAUAAGAGAUAUGUAUGUGUGUAUGCCUGUAAAGAAAAAAAUGAAUGAAGGCAGAGUCAUUCCAACUACUUUAUUUUACCUAAAUUAAAUAAUUUACAUCUAUCACUAGCCAGCAUCGUAUUCAUUAUUUGUUUUUUUUGUUGUUGUUGUUGUUGUUGUUUGAAAUGGAGUAUCACUCUGUCGCCCAGGCUGGAGCGCAGUGGUGGGAUCUCGGCUCACUGCAACCUCCACCCACCAGGCUCAAGCUAUUCUCCUGCCUCAGCUUCCCAAGUAGCUGGGAUUACAGGUACCCACCACCAUAUCCAGCUAAUUUUUGUAUUUUUAGUAGAGAUGGGGUUUCACCACGUUAGCCAGGCUGGUCUCUAGCUCCUGACCUCAGGUGAUCCACCCACCUGGGCCUCCCAAAGUGCUGGGAUUACAGGCGUGAGCCACCGCGCCUGGAGUAUUCUCUUUUUGAAUCUAUUUAUUUAAUAGCUCCAUCCUUUUCCUAACUGAAUGGAUGCUCAGAAGGGCAGCCGUUGCUCUAAUGGUUUAAUUACACGGCCUCCUCAGUCAGAGAAAUCCCAGUGUUUGUGAUGUAGGAGUAAGAGAAUGAAAGGAGAACCAGGCCCUCUCCACAGUUCCCUCCCACCUUUGAGCCCAUCCUGCAGCAAGGACCAACUGCAAGUCUACAGAGUUCGUGGAGCGUAGAGACAGCUGCUCCUGUCCCACUGGUGACACCAUCUUCCCUGCAGAAUACAGACAGGAAGAGGCCCGCAUAGGCAUAGGCAGUAGAAGUGGGCUUGCAGCUUUAAGCAAGGAAUUCUGGGGUCUUGGGUAGGGGAAAUGUGAUGGGGAAGGAGGAGUGGGCUCUGGAUGAGCAGGUCCCUUCAGUCCCAGGAAGUCCUCAGCUAGAUGGGAGGGUUGAGGUUGAAGGAGAGCCCAGGAGGACCCUUGAGAAUGGAGGGCCUAAUUCUGAGACCCACAGUACCUCAAUUUAAAGGUGACACCGUCCUAGUGUUGACUAUGGUCCUGCCUGAGGGGUGUCCAAUAAACUUUGGCUAAAUAAAGGAAUAAAUGAAGUGGGUUACCACAUGACAUUCAUGAUCGUAAGAAUGACUUAAAAACUGAAGGUGAAAACUUCUAGAAACUUCUCUCUGCUUAUGCUAGAGAACGGAAAACUGACACUGGGAGGGGCUCUGAGUUUUCAUAGUGGGUCACACAUUUGAAGUGGCACUGUUUCAGGGUAGAUGUCUUUUCUUUUUGUAUUAAUUAUAUAUUCAGUUUUACCUGUUUUAACUCACUUGCCCUCCUUCAAACUAAUGCUAAUCAUGGUAUAUGGCUGCAUUCUACAAUUAUUCUAUGUUUCUUAUUGGAAGUUUAAUUGCAUGGAGGUUGGGAUGGGGUGACAGCAGAAAUCUUGAUGUUGGAAAAUUUGGUAGAAUUAAGAAGGAAAACGAAGGAUGUCUUGGAAUGCUCUUUUCUCUGGCUUCGUAAGUUACAAUGGGCAAGGAGAACUUGGAAGGAAACACUUUAUCACACUCACGGUCAUAGGACAGACAUUUAUCACACGAUUCGCUUUAGCCUUGUAGAAUGAAAGCAGAAGCCAUAAACUGUGAACGGAGGAGAGUGCAAACUGUUGCAUUUUCUGAACUCAUUGAAGAUGACGUGAAAAAGUUGUUGGGAUGCUUUAUUAUGUGUGGAAGGGCCAUAAAAUCCAGGCUGAGCACCAAGAGGAAAGUGCGGUCAAAGAUAAGGGAGAGUGUGAAGGGACGGCACUGCAAUUAAAUUUGAAAACCACUCUUUAUAGACACAUUAAAAAUCACACUCCAACCAAUAGAAUGGAUAAGCAGCCUCACUGUAUCUGGAACCUGUCGCUAUGAACGCACAUCCUGAGAAAGGAUCUGUAGUGUUUAUUACGUCUCAGUUAUGAAAUGAUGAAGCAUGUGAUUUAAGUACCAUUUAAAUGCCAGGUGCCACCUACUUAUUCAUUUAACAAAUAGUCAUUAAGUGCCACCUCUAUGCGAAAUUCUGUACCAGUAGCUGGAGAUAUAGCUAUAAAAAGUCAUGGUUUCUCUUAGGGAGAAGCUGUUGAACUUGGGAGAAUGACUACUAACAGGGAAGGUAGAGGACUGAAGAGGAGGGGCUAACGUGGACUUUUUAGUAGAGAGUGGGAUUAUCUGCCUAUGGCUGAUUGUGUACUCUAUGCACACUUGUUUGUUUGCUUUAAUUUUUAUUUUUAAGUUCUGGGGUACAUUUGCAGGGUGUGCAGGUUUGUUACAUAGGUAAAUGUGUGCCAUGGUGGUUUGCUGCACCUAUCAACCCAUCACCUAGAUAUGAAGCCCAGCGUACAUUAGCUCUUUUUCCUAAUGAUCUCCCUCCCGCUACACCUCACAACAGGCCUCCAUGUGUGUUUUUCCCCUCCCUGUGUCCGUGUGUUCUUAUUGUUCAGCUCCCACUUAUAAGUGAGAACAUGCGGUGUUUGGUUUUCUGUCCCUGCAUUACUAUGCUGAGGAUAAUGGCUUCCAGCUCCACCCAUGUUCCACGUCCCUGCAAAGGACAUGAUCUUGUUUUUUUUAUGGCUGCAUAGUAUUCCAUGGUGUAUAUGUACCACAUUUUCUUUAUCCAGUCUAUCAUUAAUGGGCAUUUGGGUUGAUUCCAUGUCUUUGCUGUUGUGAAUAGUGUUCCAAUAAACAUAUGCGUGCAUGUAUCUUUGUAAUAGUAUGAUGUAUAUUCCUUUGGGCAUAUACUCAGUAAUGGGAUUGCUGGAUCAAAUGGUAUUUCUGAUUCUAGAUCUUUGAGGAAUCGCCACAGUGUCUCCCAAAAACCACAAUGAGGUACCAUCUCACGCCAGUCAGAAUGGCGAUUGUUAAAAGGUCAAGAAACAACUGAUGUUGGCGAGGUUGCGGAAAUGUUAUUAUAAUCUUAAGUAAGGUUUUACAUGCCCAUGGAAGAAAGUUUUCAAAUGCAGAAAAGUAAGAAGAAAAAAUAUCAUCGCUUAGAAACAACCAUAGAUCGCCUUGUAUUCUAUUUCCUUCUGUUCUUUUACCUGUGCAUAUAUUUUGACAUCGUGGGUAUUUUUUGUUAUUUUUCUUAAUAAUAUAAGUACUUACAUGCAAUAAUAAAUGCUUGAUAACAUGGUUUUCACGGUUUCAAAACAUUCAAUCACAUUUGGGAUUCUGCACAUUGGAAUGGGGUGGGGGGAAUUUUUGUAAAACUUCAGUGCCUGGGAAC
rnacentral:lncRNA from 1 species